UACGUAGGGGGCAAGCGUUGUCCGGAAUCAUUGGGCGUAAAGAGCGCGUAGGCGGCCCUGUAAGUCCGCUGUGAAAGUCAAGGGCUCAACCCUUGAAUGCCGGUGGAUACUGCAGGGCUAGAGUCCGGAAGAGGCGAGUGGAAUUCCUGGUGUAGCGGUGAAAUGCGCAGAUAUCAGGAGGAACACCGAUGGCGAAGGCAGCUCGCUGGGACGGUACUGACGCUGAGACGCGAAAGCGUGGGGAGCAAACAGG
rnacentral:rRNA from 1 species